CUCAAGCAUGUUCACACUGAUGGUUUAGCAAAGUAUUUUUUUCAACGACAUCAGAACGUCCUGAAAGACUUGUGAUGAUUGCGCUACACAAACAUCUUGCCAGCUUUCCGUGAUUAUGGACUAUUGCCCACAAAAUGGUUUAGAGGCCCAGGGGAUGGGACCACAAAUUGCUUAAUCCAAUACUGAUGAGAAAAUGAUGUUCUGCUCAGAGACGAGGCUGAAAACAGACCCUCUGCUUUCUCUAUGCCCUGAUUUCCUUGGCUACUGGGAAGUGAGGAGCCCCUUUGCCCAGCUGCUGCCCGUCUGGGAAGACAGGAGGGCCUCUGCCCAGCUGCUGCUCCAUCUAGGAAGUGAGGAGCGCCUCUGCCCACCCCCGGCAUCAUCUAGGAAGUGAGAAGCACCUCUGCCCGGUGGCCAACAUCUGGGAAGUUGGAGCACCUCUGCCUGGCCACUGCACUGUCUGGGAAGUGAGGAGCGCCUCUGCCCAGCGCCGCACUGUCUGGGAAGUGAGGAGUUCCUCUGCCUGGCCUCCACACUGUCUGGGAAGUGAGGAGUUCCUCUGCCCUGCCGAGGCCCUGUCUGGGAAGUGAGGAGCGCAUAUGCCCGGCCGCCCCCCUCGUCUGGGAAGUGAGGAGCCCCUCUGCCCUGCCGCCCAACUGACUGGAAAGACAGGAGUGCCUCUGUCUGGCCGCCACCCUGUCUGGGAAGAGAGGAGUGCCUCUGCCUGGCUGCCCACCUUCUGGGAAGUGAGGAGCACCUCUGCCCUGCUGCCCAAUUGACUGGGAAGAGAGGAGCACCUCUGCCCAGCUGCCCACCUUCUGGGAAGCAACCCUCCAAGUGUGAAGUGACAGCCUUGUGUGUGAUCUUUCUGCCCUCCCCAAGUUUGCAUUUUUUGACACUAAAGUUUACUUUUUAAUUAAAAAAAAAUUCCUUUGCUAUUAGGGCUUUUUAGUUCCAUACGAAUUUUAAAAAUAAGUUUUGCUAGUUCUGUGAAGAAUGUCGUUGGUAAUUUAAUAGAAAUAGCAUUGAAUCUGUAAAUUGCUUUGGGCAGUAUGGCCCUUUUAAUGAUACUGAGUCUUCCUAUCCAAGAGCAUGGAAUGUUUUUAUAUUUGUUUAUGUCAUCUCUGAUUUCUUUGAGCAGUGUUUUGUAAACUUCAUUGUAGAGAUCUUUCACCUCCCUAGUUAGCUGUAUUCCUGGGUAUUUUAUUCUUUUUGUGGCAAUUGUGAAUGAAAUUGCAUUCCUGACUUGGCUCUCAGUUUGACUAUUGUUGGGCUUACCAGUUUCUGAUCAGGACAAUUUCUGGAAUUCAUUCUGUCUCUUCAAGUUCUUUGCACAGUAACUUUUCCUUAGGCCCCUUAAUCUGUCACUGAGGAAAAUUUUAAGAAAAUACAGAAUGGUGCAGGAUUAAAAUGGCCAUCGAUCCCACCUCACCACAAAGGGUUGGCUUUGUGUUUGCAGCCUGCUUUUCUCUUCCUCAAUUGUUUUGGCACAACUGGCUGAACAAAUAGUGUUUUGGAGUGUGAAAUGAUGAAAUAGUGUUUUAACAUGAAACUCCAUGGCAACAAUGUAAUGCAUUCAUGGUAAGGGGCACAGUCAUAAGAUGUGACUCUGCCAAUGUUUGAUAUUUUACUAGUGUGUACAAACUAAUUAAACUGAUUGCACUAUAAGCAUGACUUGAUAUUUCCAUGUACUUUCCUCUGACAGAAAAAGUGUCAAAUGUAAAAUCUGAUCUUAAAUAAAGGCCUG
rnacentral:lncRNA from 1 species